CUCACAUAGAUUACUGUGUCGUCUGCGUACAUGUGUACAUUUGAUGAUUUGCAGAUCAUUUAUAAAUAAUGUAUAUAGUAGGAGGCUGAGAAUGGAACCUUGGGGAACACCACAUGUGACUGUGAGAGGGAGGGAGUCGCUGUCAGAAAUGGACACAUAUUGCGAGCGAUCCAAUACAUGCAAUCGAAACCAGGUUAGCUGACAAUCACCAAUACCUGAGUUUUUGCAGUAGAAUGUCGUGGUCUACUGUGUCAAAGGCCUUUGCGAAAUCAAGGAAAAUAGCUCCAGUUAGGUCUCCUUGCUCCAUGCCAGUUUGGAUGUCAUUGCAAACUUUUAAGAGGGAAGUUGUAGUGGAAAACCCGAUUGAUCAUGUUACCGGGAAACUGGCGGAGGCCAAGCACAGAGAGAUGGACACAGGUUUCUUCAGGAAGGAAGAG